rnacentral:rRNA from 1 species
GACGAACGCUGGCGGUGUGCUUAACAUAUGCAAGUCGAACGGUAAGGCCCUUUCGGGGGUACACGAGUGGCGAACGGGUGAGUAACACGUGAGUAACCUGCCCUCAUCUCUGGGAUAACAGUCGGAAACGGUUGCUAAUACUGGAUAUGAGCUUGCAAGGCAUCUUGUGGGUUGGAAAGAUUUUUUUUGGUUGGGGAUGGACUCGCGGCCUAUCAGCUUGUUGGUGAGGUAGUGGCUCACCAAGGCUUCGACGGGUAGCCGGCCUGAGAGGGCGACCGGCCACAUUGGGACUGAGAUACGGCCCAAACUCCUACGGGAGGCAGCAGUGGGGAAUAUUGCACAAUGGACGGAAGUCUGAUGCAGCAACGCCGCGUGCGGGAUGACGGCCUUCGGGUUGUAAACCGCUUUCAAUUGUGACGAAGCUUUUUUGUGACGGUAGCAGUAGAAGAAGCACCGGCUAACUACGUG